rnacentral:rRNA from 1 species
AGGGCACCACCAGGAGUGGAGCCUGCGGCUUAAUUUGACUCAACACGGGGAAACUCACCCGGUCCGGACACCGGAAGGAUUGACAGAUUGAUAGCUCUUUCUUGAUUCGGUGGAUGGUGGUGCAUGGCCGUUCUUAGUUGGUGGAGCGAUCUGUCUGGUUAAUUCCGAUAACGAACGAGACUCUAGCCUAUUAAAUAGACGUCGGGUUCUCUGCACUCGACGGUCUUCUUAGAGGGACAAGGUGCUUUUAGCACCGCGAAACAGAGCAAUAACAGGUCUGUGAUGCCCUUAGAUGUCCGGGGCCGCACGCGCGCUACACUGAAGGAAGCAGCGUGUAACAACCUUGUUCUAACGAACUGGGUAACCCGUGGAACUUCCUUCAUGAUUGGGAUAGGGGUUUGCAAUUGUGCCCCUUGAACGAGGAAUUCCCAGUAAACACUAGUCAUCAGCUAGUGCUGAUUACGUCCCUGCCCUUUGUACACACCGCCCGUCGCUACUACCGAUUGAAUGGUUUAGUGA